AAGAAGCUACCGGCUAACUCCGUGCCAGCAGCCGCGGUAAUACGGAGGGUGCGAGCGUUAAUCGGAAUUACUGGGCGUAAAGCGCAUGCAGGUGGUUUGUAAGUCAGAUGUGAAAGCCCGGGGCUCAACCUCGGAAUUGCAUUUGAAACUGGCAAACUAGAGUACUGUAGAGGGGGUAGAAUUUCAGGUGUAGCGGUGAAAUGCGUAGAGAUCUGAAGGAAUACCGGUGGCGAAGGCGGCCCCCUGGACAGAUACUGACACUCAGAUGCGAAAGCGUGGGGAGCAAACAGGAUUAGAUACCCUGGUAA
rnacentral:rRNA from 1 species